rnacentral:rRNA from 15 species
GCACAUGGUGGAUGCCUUGGCGAUAAGAGGCGAUGAAGGACGUAGAAAUCUGCGAUAAGCGUAGGGGAGCUGAUAAACGAGCUUUGAUCCUACGAUCUCCGAAUGGGGCAACCCACUGUCUUUGACAGUAUCCUUAAGUGAAUACAUAGCUUAAGGAGGCGAACCCGGCGAACUGAAACAUCUAAGUAACCGGAGGAAAAGAAAUCAACCGAGA